GUUGAAGUCUACAGAGAUGUUUGUUUUACUUUGUUUUAGAAAACUUGAUUGUUUUACUUGGAAUCUGAUGUUCUGAUGAUGAUAACAUGCAUGGAUAACAGAAGUCACCAUGGGAGUACAAGGGAGUAAGAGUGUUGGAUUCCAUAAAUCAGACGCUCCUAUAUUAUAUCUACAUUCAAUAAUGUUGAAUAUAGAGAUAUUGAAGCACACUGUGUUUGUUGUUUGAACAUAUGGUAACCUGGACAUAAAGACCCACCCUGGCUUACGAAAUACAAAUGUAUUCUCAUAUUAAAACCUGGAAUGACCUAGAAAGCAACAAUGGUCUCAUUGAUCUCAAUGAUCGCACAGUUUUCCUGCUGGAAACAUCAUGUGAUAGGCCACGUGGGAAUAACAAACUUACUUUAUUUUAUAUAUAUAUAUGCACUUUUUAUAGUGUGCUUAUAGACGGAUGUUUGUGCAUUUAUUUUUGAAAAUGGAAUUUUAUUGAAAUGAAUCAAGUUCUAUUUUUGCUGGUUUGGUGAAAAUAUGAGAAAAUAUCGAGGAUUUAAUAACUUUUUGAGGUGUUUCAUCUACAAUUGUUUGAAAUCAAUUAUUUAAAUUUUCAUCAUUUUAAUUAAGAAACUAUUUCUCUUUAAUCUGUUGUAUUUUCGAAGUUGUUUUGUGAAUAACAAGGCAAACAUAGGCACACUCUUUCAAAUGAGUAAAGUUUGAUUAGUAUAUAUAUACUCAUAUGUAACACCAUAUAAUGGAGUUCUGCUUGGAUUGGUUACAUUCUCCAUCCUUGUUUGCCUUCUUACACAGCGACAUUAAUCUUAUUGUCAAUAAAAUAUUAAUUUUUCAUUUACCAUCAUGCUUCAAUAAACCUGGGGCGGCUCCUGUGGUUGUUUUACACAGGGAC